rnacentral:rRNA from 1 species
GACGAACGCUGGCGGCGUGCUUAACACAUGCAAGUCGAACGGAAAGGCCCUGCUUUUGUGGGGUGCUCGAGUGGCGAACGGGUGAGUAACACGUGAGUAACCUGCCCUUGACUUUGGGAUAACUUCAGGAAACUGGGGCUAAUACCGGAUAGGAGCUCCUGCUGCAUGGUGGGGGUUGGAAAGUUUCGGCGGUUGGGGAUGGACUCGCGGCUUAUCAGCUUGUUGGUGGGGUAGUGGCUUACCGAGGCUUUGACGGGUAGCCGGCCUGAGAGGGUGAGCGGCCACAUUGGGACUGAGAUACGGCCCAGACUCCUACGGGAGGCAGCAGUGGGGAAUAUUGCACAAUGGGCGGAAGCCUGAUGCAGCAACGCCGCGUGCGGGAUGACGGCCUUCGGGUUGUAAACCGCUUUCGCCUGUGACGAAGCGUGAGUGACGGUAAUGGGUAAAGAAGCACCGGCUAACUACGUG